AUGCGUCGGAGGAUCGCCGGAAAGGCUGCGGCCACCGGUGACGGCGGAGUAGACCGCCUAGGCGCGCUCCCGGACGAGAUCCUCCAGCAUGCGCUGUCGUUCCUGCCGUCGCGCGACGCCGUGCGCACCUGCGUGCUCGCCCGCCGCUGGCGCCACCUGUGGAAGUCCGCCCCGGCCCUGCGGGUCACCGACGUCGACGCCUUCAGGAGCGCCCGCCACGUCAACGGCUUCGUGAACCACCUCAUCGUCCUCCGCGACCGGACGCCCCUCCGCGAGCGCGAGAUCGCCGUCUAUAAGGAAUACGACGGCGGUGGGUACUACGACAGCAACGGAGAUCGCCUCGAGCACUCCCAGUACAUCGAUCUGUGGGUCAGCUGCCCAAACCUGGAGACUCUAAAGAUGAACCGCUGCUCCAUCCUAUUCUUGGGAGGCGACCGUUCCAUGAAUAUAUCGUCGCAAUCUGUGCGAUGUCUGAGCAUUACACGCUGUGAUUUUGAUCACUUUGUCCGGGCACGUGCCCUCAUUUCUAUCCCAACCCUCGUGCACCUGGACCUGGAGCUGACCGAGGACUGUGGCUUGGUUCCUGCGUUUGAGAGCAUGAUGCCGUCGUUGCUAACAACAUCUAUCAAGCUUGACCGCAGUUGCAACAAGGACGACAUGGGUUGCUCAUUGCUUCUUGGAUGCCUCUCACAUUCCUCUAAUCUAGACCUCAUGGCCGGGCCUCAAGCGUUUGCUUUCAGGACAGCUUUAAAACGGUGCACCACAUUUAGCAAGCUCAAAAUCUUGUCACUCAAUGAAUGGUGUGUGGAACCUGAUUUUGGACCACUACAUUACUUUCUACGUUGGUCACCAAAUCUUGAGAAGCUCAACAUCCAUCUAUCUAAGCCAUAUCGACAUGUUGAAGAAACAGAGGGAUGCUACGAUUCGGCGGAACCAUUUUUGGCAUCAAAGCAAUUCAGGGUUGUCGAGAUCAAAUGUCGAGCAAAAGAUAAGCUUGUUCACAAAAUUUUGAAGGUCCUGAGUUCCUGUGGAGUACCUGCUGAGCAAAUCAACAUCAAGAAAAUAAAUUGA
rnacentral:rRNA from 1 species